rnacentral:tRNA from 1 species
GCGACAUUAGCUCAGUUGGUAGAGCGAUACCUUGCCAAGGUAUAGGUCACCGGUUCGAACCCGGUAUGUCGCU